AUUUUUGGGUUCUUCUAACGGUAAUUUAGCUCCUUUUUGCGUCCUUCAAAUACCCCGGUUGAUAAUUUUUUAUUUUUUAUUUUAUGGAAAUACUGGAUAUAUCCUCUGCCGCUACAAUUGGCAAUGAAAGGAGUUUUAUAUCUCUGCAAUUCCUCGCUUGAGUUUUGUUUGGUUGAUUAAUCUUUCUUCCUCAGUUGUUUUUAUUUUCAAUAUAUUUCCCAUGAUUUUGGAAUUUUAUGAGUUUUGAAGGUGAGAAAUGAUUGUCGCAAUUAAUGCGGGUUUGGACAUGAAUUAAUAUAUUUGAUUUUGUGUAUGCAAUGGACUAACCAUAUAUUUCCUUGUUAAUUAUUUGUAAAACAUGUCUGCAAUCUAGUUCCGCAUUGAGUGUUUUGGGGUUCUGUUCAUUCAAAUGAAGAUCACUUCUUGCUAUAUUUUCUGAUCCAGAGGUGUCUUUAGGAUCCAUCUGCCUCCGUUGGUGCUGAUAUUUUUGUUAUUAUCAGAGCAUUUGAUGCAACAAAGAUAUUGCUGUUUCUCUAUUUUUUUAAAUUAAUUUUUUUAUUAUUUUUCUUUUUUCUGAUUUUUUUUUUUUUUGCUAAGUCAUAUUUGUUAGUUUUCUUCUAUCUGAAAUUUUAUUUGGAUAGAUACUUGCUUUUGCCAAAUUAUUUUGGACGAGUGAGUGAAAUGUCCAGAUACAUGUGAUCUAUGAAAUGUGUAUGAGGAGAUUCAGUGAUUUAUUGAUGUAGUGACUGGAGAUGCAAUCCAAAUGCCUUCUGGAUAUAUGAGUUGCAUUAUAUCUGCAGUGUGGCUUUCUAAUUUAUGAAAGAAGAUAUCGACUCACGGGGUUCAUUCUUUUGAUAAUGCUGGUUUUGGUAUAUAUCGUGGUGAUCUUUAUCCUUAUCUAUCUUACUAUACCUGCCAAGCUCCAACUAUUUGAUGAAGGAUCAGUAGUAGGUUUCAUGGACUUCAUGUUCUUUGGUGAUAUUGAGAUCACAAGCAGGUUUUUUGAAAUCCUCAAAUGUUAUCACUAAUAUAUUCAACAAUAUAUACUGAUGGAGGCCAUGUGUCCACAUUGUUUACACUUCUUCUCCUUGAAUGACAUUGUGGAGGAAUUUCUUAAAAGAAGGAAUUACGCAGUUUUAAUGCGAGUUAUUUCCCGAAGAAACCAAUUCUUUUUGCAUAUUAUUUCUCAAUAUGGCUCCAGGGAGAAAUCUUUAGUAUUCAAUUGUAUUGCUUGUCUUAUUGAUCAACAAGAAGAUGGAGUAUAUCAACUAUUCUUAUCCCAUUCUACUUUGAUAUUCAAAUGGUUCUCCCAGUGUUAUAUGGUGAAGUUUCUGUUUCUGUUCAUUACAUGAGGGGAUAGUUUCAUGGCCCCUUUGGAAUUGGCAAGAAGACAAUGUUACUGUUCAUUGUUGUGUUACUCUUGUUGUUCCAUGUGAUGGUAAGCUUAGCCUCAUUGCCAUUUAUGGGUUCUAUGCCUGCAGCUAUAGGAAGAUAUAUAGAAAGUUAAUGACCAAUCUGCUGUACUGGAAAUUCUUUUCCUUCUUAAUGCAGGUAAGUGGGACCAUCGAGGUGGU
rnacentral:misc_RNA from 1 species